CAAUAUCAGCUGGUAAUUCUGGGCUUACCCCACCGUUAUACGCUUCCCGGAAUUCCAACUGAUAUCCACU
rnacentral:pre_miRNA from 1 species